rnacentral:rRNA from 1 species
UACGGAGGAUCCGAGCGUUAUCCGGAAUUAUUGGGUUUAAAGGGUGCGUAGGCGGCCAUUUAAGUCAGCGGUGAAAUUUUGCAGCUUAACUGUAACAGUGCCGUUGAUACUGUUUGGCUAGGAUUUGGUUGUAGUGUGCGGAAUGUGUGGUGUAGCGGUGAAAUGCUUAGAUAUCACACAGAACACCAAUUGCGUAGGCAGCUUACUGAGCCGACACUGACGCUGAGGCACGAAAGCGUGGGGAUCGAACAGGAUUAGA